CACCCACAAUGCUCUGCGCCUUAAAGGGGCCGCGGACACCUCAAGACAGUGGCGGGGGGGCGGUGAAGGGCGCUUAAAAGGGCAACGCGGAACCCUAGACUUCCGCUAUCUACCUCUACCCCAACAUUAUUGCAUAGGGAUGCACGCCGAGGGUCACCCGCAAAUUAGGGGGCAAAUUUGGUGGAGGGUAAGGGAUUCUUCCUGAUUCCUCGUUCUCUUCCACGAUGGAAAUUCUUAGGCUGAUCUUAAUGGGGACACAAUUUCUUCUCACUCUCCCCAACGAUUUCUCCACUUCUUCACAUUCUAUUCAAUUUGAAGGGGCGGGGGGGAGGCGAAGAGGAUCCUCUGGUGAAGCAUAGGUUCUCUCAAAUUUUGUCCCUUAAAUGCUAUCUUCAGACCCGCAACGUCUCUCUUCUGUGCCAAUUUAUGAAGGGUUAUUAAGGGGCGAACCCUCCGUUCCCCAGCACUGGAGGGGGAUGGGCGGGGAGGGCCUGAUCCUUCUCACCGCCCCCAGCCCGCCCGGGGAAGGUGAGGAGGAAGUGGGCCGAGGGGGCGCGGCCGGCCGCUGACUCACAGCGGAGGGGGGGGGUGGGGGUGCAGCGCUGGACCUGGGUGGAGAUGGGACUCCCAGGUUCCCGUGUGAAUAAAGCCCCUAGACCUCUCCCCACGCACGCCCCGCCGUGACUCAGUUUCGCCCGCAGAGGAUGGCGGGAUCAUCCAGCAAUAGGAGGGCGCGGAGGCAGGGGCACCCACCCCAGUGCUGGCUCCUGGGAACCCCCUCCCCCAUGCUGCAGCUUGGGGCUCGGCCCCAGCACCCUCCCAGCCUUCCGCAGCGGGUCCCGCAGGCCCCGCCCCAUGUGACGCCGCUAGUGGCCACUCCCCUCCCGUAGAGCGCCACCUGGCCCGGGUCCGGAGCCCGAGGCUUGGCCUGGAUGCCUGGGAAAUCAUCAGUGCAACGUGCCCAAAUGGGUAAACUGAGGUCUGGAGGUUUGGGUGGAGUGGAUCUCAGCCCCAAGUGCUACGCGUCCCCAUCCAACCCAGCCUGGCCAGUCAGAGCCGGAUGGUGUGACUGGUCAGACAGGAGGUCCGGGGUGGCCAAUGAGAACCAGCUGCAGAACCAGAGCUUCUGCUACUAGGAACCUGAGAUCCUGCCUGCAAAUGAUGUCAGAGAUGAGAAAGUAAAACUAAGAGGUGGUUCCUGAUAACAUCAUUUGACAACUGGAGUAGUCCUGCCUUCGGUCCUUGAAGUCUUCGAUUACAUGACCCAUGACUCCAAGCCCCGCCCCCAGGACCUUGCACAGACACGUGUCCAAUAGCUGCGCGCAGAGAAGCUCCGGGGCCAGGCCUAAGCAGAGGC